rnacentral:rRNA from 1 species
AUUGAACGCUGGCGGCAUGCUUUACACAUGCAAGUCGAACGGUAACAGGUUAAGCUGACGAGUGGCGAACGGGUGAGUAAUGCAUCGGAACGUGCCCGAUCGUGGGGGAUAACGCAGCGAAAGCUGCGCUAAUACCGCAUACGAUCUGAGGAUGAAAGCGGGGGACCGUAAGGCCUCGCGCGAUCGGAGCGGCCGAUGUCAGAUUAGGUAGUUGGUGGGGUAAAGGCCCACCAAGCCGACGAUCUGUAGCUGGUCUGAGAGGACGACCAGCCACACUGGGACUGAGACACGGCCCAGACUCCUACGGGAGGCAGCAGUGGGGAAUUUUGGACAAUGGGCGAAAGCCUGAUCCAGCAAUGCCGCGUGCAGGAAGAAGGCCUUCGGGUUGUAAACUGCUUUUGUACGGAGCGAAAAGGUCUCCUCUAAUACAGGGGGCUCAUGACGGUACCGUAAGAAUAAGCACCGGCUAACUACGUGCCAGCCGCCGCAGUAA